AAGAACAGAUGUUAUAUAAUUAAAAUUCCAUGAAAAAAUUUCCAUUACAUGUUCUUAACAACUUUUUAUACUUAGAGAAACGAUUUAAUUUCUUUUCUCACAGGAAAAACAGUGGCUCUUACAAGUAACCGGAACAUAGGUAGGUCACCUUUUCAUCCUGGUGCUGGAGUGGCAAUAUUACCAGAAUAAAAUCCUGAAAGGAAAAGCAGAUCUGAAAUACUCCAGCAGAAACUCGAACAUGGCACAGACCAGGACAAGAGCUCUAUCAGAGAGAACUGCUGUUGGAGGAGCACUGAGUGUGUGCAACAAAGACACUACUAUUGAAUCUCAUCCCUACUAAUCAUGACAACAUGGGCUGCAUUUUCUUCCUUUACUUUCGUUUCCUUGGCUUGAAUUGGCCUUAAUUUCUCUAACCUCAAACCCAGCAAAAGUGCACAUUUUGAGGUAUUCAGAGAAGUGCUGAGGCACAUCAAGAGCUGCUGGACAUCCAGGAAGAGUCUAAGAGUACAUUUUUCUCAUCUUGAUGGGUCAUUAAGAAUAGUUUCAUGGAGAUUAGUCAACAGAAUUGGAAAGACUUUGAGCCAAAGGCUGUAACAUGUCUUAUGCUUAGUCUUGGGAGGCCAUAUCCUUCAAACACAUACUCCAAACAGAGACUUGCUUUCAUUUCCCUUGAAAAGAUUAUUUCCAUCAGGAACUGCUUUUCUACUAUGCUGCCAAGGCCAGCCACAGGCUGUAAGUCUGUGCUACAAAAUGAUCAGUCAAAGAAUGCUGCUUAAGCACAAUUCUUGUGUUUGGAUUUUGUUUUGAGUUUUAAUUACUUUGGUUAUUUGGUUUUCCUUGUUUUCAUUUGAAGUUUUUUCAUGUAUUUGUUGUUGUUUUGUUCCUGUAAUUUUUGAAUAUUUUAACAAGGCUAUACACUACAUAUUUACUUCCCACUUGCAGUUGCUAUUGAGUAAAUUGGAUGUAUUCUUAUGAAUAAAACAGCAAUCUCUAGCUCUUCACUUUUAAGAACCUUCUUUAUUCAGGGGCGGUGUCACUGUCUUGAAAUCCCACAGCUAUCAGACAGAGAUGGAUAUCUGCAUUCUCACAGGGCUUGGGCUUCAGAAUUACUUCCCAGCCAGAGUUACAAAGGUGAUUGUACUUUCAGUGUGGAUAGUUUGUCCAACUUUGUGGAUACCAACUUUGUGAUAGAAAAAUGACCUGUGCUGUAUCUUUAUUGUCAAAUAUUUACCUACUACUAAAAUACACUAUUCUGUAGAUGAUAGUGUUGAACAAAUUAAUGGGAAGUAUAUUCUCUAAUAUCUCUCAGAAAAUAAAAAUGUAGUCUUAAGGGAAUAUAAAGCAGUCAUGAAAUACAGA
rnacentral:lncRNA from 1 species